ensembl:snRNA U6 U6 spliceosomal RNA
CUCUUCGGCAGCAAUACACUAAAAAGAAAAAAAUAAUUGGAAUGAUACAGAGAAGAUUAGCAUGGUUCCUGUGCAAGGAUGACACACAAAUUUGGGAAGUGUUUCAUAUUUUA